rnacentral:SRP_RNA from 1 species
GCCGGGCGUGGUGGCGCAUGCCUGUAAUCCCAGCUACUGGUGAGGCUGAGGUGGGAGAAUCGCUUGAACCCGGGAGGCGGAGGCUGCAGUGAGCCCAGAUGGCGCCACUGCACUCCAGCCUGGGUGACAGAGUGAGACUCCAUCUCAA